UACGUAGGGUGCGAGCGUUGUCCGGAAUUACUGGGCGUAAAGGGCUCGUAGGUGGCCAACUAAGUCAGACGUGAAAUCCCCAGGCUCAACCUGGGAACUGCGUCUGAUACUGGAUGGCUUGAAUCCGGGAGAGGGAUGCAGAAUUCCAGGUGUAGCGGUGAAAUGCGUAGAUAUCUGGAGGAAUACCGGUGGCGAAGGCGGCAUCCUGGACCGGGAUUGACACUGAGGAGCGAAAGCUAGGGGAGCAAACGGG
rnacentral:rRNA from 1 species